rnacentral:rRNA from 1 species
AAUAGAUACCCGGGUAGUCCACGCCGUAAACGAUGUCGACUUGGAGGUUGUGCCCUUGAGGCGUGGCUUCCGGAGCUAACGCGUUAAGUCGACCGCCUGGGGAGUACGGCCGCAAGGUUAAAACUCAAAUGAAUUGAACGGGGGCCCGCACGAAGCGGUGGAGCAUGUGGUUUAAUUCGAUGCAACGCGAAGAACCUUACCUACUCUUGACAUCCAGAGAACUUAGCAGAGAUGCUUUGGUGCCUUCGGGAACUCUGAGACAGGUGCUGCAUGGCUGUCGUCAGCUCGUGUUGUGAAAUGUUGGGUUAAGUCCCGCAACGAGCGCAACCCUUAUCCUUUGUUGCCAGCGGUUUCGGCCGGGAACUCAAAGGAGACUGCCAGUGAUAAACUGGAGGAAGGUGGGGAUGACGUCAAGUCAUCAUGGCCCUUACGAGUAGGGCUACACACGUGCUACAAUGGCGUAUACAAAGAGAAGCGACCUCGCGAGAGCAAGCGGACCUCAUAAAGUAUGUCGUAGUCCGGAUUGGAGU